GACGAACGCUGGCGGCGUGCUUAACACAUGCAAGUCGAACGGUGAAGCGCUUGCCUUUUUGGUGGGUGUGGAUGAGUGGCGAACGGGUGAGUAACACGUGAGUAACCUGCCCUCUUCUUCUGGAUAACCUCAUGAAAGUGGGGCUAAUACGGGGUAUUCCGGGUCUGUCGCAUGGCGGGUUUUGGAAAGAUUGCGCCUUUGGGUGUCUUCGGUGGGGGUUGGGCUCGCGGCCUAUCAGCUUGUUGGUGGGGUGAUGGCCUACCAAGGCGGUGACGGGUAGCCGGACUGAGAGGGUGGACGGCCACACUGGGACUGAGACACGGGCCAGACUCCGGCGGGAGGCAGCAGUGGGGUAUAUUGCACAAUGGGCGCAAGCCUGAUGCAGCGACGCCGCGUGAGGGAUGGAGGCCUUCGGGUUGUGAACCUCUUUCGCCAGUGAAGCAGGCCUGCUCCUGUGUGGGUGGGUUGACGGUAGCUGGAUAAGAAGCGCCGGCUAACUACGUG
rnacentral:rRNA from 1 species